AGCCACUGAUGACAUUAUUACUAUUUCUGACACCUCGUAUGAACGCUGCAUUGCGGCGUCUGAUUUGGAAUAAUGGUCUGAGGCUC